UGCGUAGGGCGCAAGCGUUGUCCGGAAUUAUUGGGCGUAAAGAGCUCGUAGGCGGUCUGCCGCGUCUGCUGUGAAAACCUAGGGCUUAACCCUGGGCCUGCAGUGGGUACGGGCAGACUAGAGUGCGGUAGGGGAGACUGGAAUUCCUGGUGUAGCGGUGAAAUGCGCAGAUAUCAGGAGGAACACCGGUGGCGAAGGCGGGUCUCUGGGCCGUAACUGACGCUGAGGAGCGAAAGCAUGGGUAGCGAACAGG
rnacentral:rRNA from 1 species